AGGGUGUGCUGGUACUAUCACUUCCCCAUUUAUCAAAAGCUGUGUUUUAUCUCUUAUGUGUCUCAGAAGUUAUGGUGCAUAACACCUUUCUCUGGGGUGCAGGAUUACACAGAACCAAAGAACAGUAAAAGUGAGCUACUCCGUUUUUUGUGACAGGUGCAUGUGGACCACGUUCCUGGGCACAGCAAAUGGACAGAAGGGAGUUGAGAUGCUCCAGGUGGGGCCACCUCUCCUUGGGUGAAUUGUGGCCAGGCCCUCUUCGUAGGGUCUUUAAGUACCUCUCUUUGUGUGCCAGGCAGCUCCCACCAUGUACCCUGCCUAUGAGCAACUGAAUCCUGGCUGGAGCCACAUUAGGAAAAAUCAGUUGUGGGGAUGGGGUGAGUGUCUGCUUCUCCCCCCAGAUUUAUGACUCUGGUGGAAGUUCCUGUCACCCCUCACUCAGCACCUGUGUUUCCAGCCACUUCUCUAUUGUUGUUAUUUCCAAGUGAUGACUGACUGAAUCUCUGCUAAUGCAGCAAGCGGGCUGGGGCUGCUCCAGGUGCAUGCUCCAACUCUCCAAAAUGUCCACUGGCCACAGAAGACCUGCUGCCUGCAGACCUAGACAUGUCUGGUUAGGAGGGACCUGCCAAAAAGUAUGUUGUUCUGUGUUGUUGGAGUGUCUAUGUUCUAUCUUUUUCCAAGGGUUCCUGCCAAUUAGCAAGACAGCACAGAUGCAGAGCUACUGCACAGGUCAUGGAAGAGGAAGUUGUUUUUUAGCUACAGCUAAAGAGACCAGUAAUUGA
rnacentral:lncRNA from 1 species